CUUUCUUUGCUCCUUAUUAGCUUUCGAGUUUCGUAAUAAAACAUUAGGAACAUAAAGUCUAAUUUGGUCGAGUACAUUUUGGAGUGAGUCGGGGAGCUUAUUGAUGGUAGAUCGAAUAGCUAGCUAGGUUUGAGAGUUGGAGAUAUCAGCCUCAUUGGCGUAUCUUUUCAUCAGGUCAAAAGAAUCCUAAUUCAUACAAAAAUA
rnacentral:lncRNA from 1 species